rnacentral:rRNA from 1 species
UACGGAGGAUGCGAGCGUUAUCCGGAUUUAUUGGGCUUAAAGGGUGCGUAGGCGGAUUUUUAAGUCAGCGGUAAAAUGUCCGGGCUCAACCCGGGCCGGCCGUUGAAACUGGGGAUCUUGAGUGGGCGAGAAGUAUGCGGAAUGCGCGGUGUAGCGGUGAAAUGCAUAGAUAUCACGCAGAACUCCGAUUGCGAAGGCAGCGUACCGGCAUCCAACUGACGCUGAGGCACGAAAGCGUGGGGAGCAAACAGG